rnacentral:rRNA from 1 species
AACCCUAGUCAAUAGAUUCACGGCGUAAAACGUGUUUAAGGAAUACUUUUAUAAAGUCAAACUUUAGCUACGCUGUAAAAAGCUAUAGCUACUGUAAGCUCUAACGCGAAAGUAACUUUAAAACACCUGAAUACACGACAGCUAAGGCCCAAACUGGGAUUAGAUACCCCACUAUGCUUAGCCCUAAACCUAAGGAGUCCUCCUAACAAGACUCUUCGCCAGAGUACUACUAGCCAAAGCUUAAAACUCAAGGGACUUGGCGGUGCUUCAUAUCCCUCUAGAGGAGCCUGUUCUAUAAUCGAUAAACCCCGAUCAACCUUACCAACCCUUGUCAACU